ACGCUCGACACCUACGGGGGGCAGCAGUGGGGGAUAUUGCACAAUGGGGGAAACCCUGAUGCAGCAACGCCGCGUGAGGGAAGACGGUUUUCGGAUUGUCAACCUCUGUCCUUGGUGACGAUAAUGACGGUAGCCAAGAAGGAAGCCACGGCUAACUACGUGCCGGCAGCCGCGGUAAUCUGAGCGGGCUGGCAAGGC
rnacentral:rRNA from 1 species